rnacentral:rRNA from 1 species
CAGUAGCCGCGGUAAUACGGAGGGAGCUAGCGUUGUUCGGAAUCACUGGGCGUAAAGCGCACGUAGGCGGCUAUUCAAGUCUGGGGUGAAAGCCCGGGGCUCAACUCCGGAACUGCCUUUGAAACUAGAUAGCUUGAAUCUUGGAGAGGCGAGUGGAAUUCCGAGUGUAGAGGUGAAAUUCGUAGAUAUUCGGAAGAACACCAGUGGCGAAGGCGACUCGCUGGACAAGUAUUGACGCUGAGGUGCGAAAGCGUGGGGAGCAAACAGGAUUAGAGACCCGCGUAGUCCCUGUCUCUUAUAC